rnacentral:rRNA from 1 species
UACGAAGGGGGCUAGCGUUGCUCGGAAUCACUGGGCGUAAAGCGCACGUAGGCGGCUUUUUACGUCAGGGGUGAAAUCCUGGAGCUCAACUCCAGAACUGCCUUUGAUACUGAGAAGCUUGAGUCCGGGAGAGGUGAGUGGAACUGCGAGUGUAGAGGUGAAAUUCGUAGAUAUUCGCAAGAACACCAGUGGCGAAGGCGGCUCACUGGCCCGAUACUGACGCUGAUGCACGAAAGCGUGGGGAGCAAACAGG